GGUCAAGUGAAGAAGCGCAUACGGUGGAUGCCUUGGCAGUCAGAGGCGAUGAAAGACGUGGUAGCCUGCGAAAAGCUUCGGGGAGUCGGCAAACAGACUUUGAUCCGGAGAUCUCUGAAUGGGGGAACCCACCUAGGAUAACCUAGGUAUCUUGUACUGAAUCCAUAGGUGCAAGAGGCGAACCAGGGGAACUGAAACAUCUAAGUACCCUGAGGAAAAGAAAUCAACCGAGAUUCCCUUAGUAGUGGCGAGCGAACGGGGAUUAGCCCUUAAGCUUCAUUGAUUUUAGCGGAACGCUCUGGAAAGUGCGGCCAUAGUGGGUGAUAGCCCCGUACGCGAAAGGAUCUUUGAAGUGAAAUCGAGUAGGACGGAGCACGAGAAACUUUGUCUGAACAUGGGGGGACCAUCCUCCAAGGCUAAAUACUACUGACUGACCGAUAGUGAACCAGUACCGUGAGGGAAAGGCGAAAAGAACCCCGGAGAGGGGAGUGAAAUAGAACCUGAAACCGUAUGCGUACAAGCAGUGGGAGCCUACUUGUUAGGUGACUGCGUACCUUUUGUAUAAUGGGUCAGCGACUUAUAUUCAGUGGCAAGCUUAACCGUAUAGGGUAGGCGUAGCGAAAGCGAGUCUUAAUAGGGCGUUUAGUCGCUGGGUAUAGACCCGAAACCGGGCGAUCUAUCCAUGAGCAGGUUGAAGGUUAGGUAACACUGACUGGAGGACCGAACCCACUCCCGUUGAAAAGGUAGGGGAUGACUUGUGGAUCGGAGUGAAAGGCUAAUCAAGCUCGGAGAUAGCUGGUUCUCCUCGAAAGCUAUUUAGGUAGCGCCUCAUGUAUCACUCUGGGGGGUAGAGCACUGUUUCGGCUAGGGGGUCAUCCCGACUUACCAAACCGAUGCAAACUCCGAAUACCCAGAAGUGCCGAGCAUGGGAGACACACGGCGGGUGCUAACGUCCGUCGUGAAAAGGGAAACAACCCAGACCGCCAGCUAAGGUCCCAAAGUUGUGGUUAAGUGGUAAACGAUGUGGGAAGGCUUAGACAGCUAGGAGGUUGGCUUAGAAGCAGCCACCCUUUAAAGAAAGCGUAAUAGCUCACUAGUCGAGUCGGCCUGCGCGGAAGAUGUAACGGGGCUCAAACCACACACCGAAGCUGCGGGUGUCACGUAAGUGACGCGGUAGAGGAGCGUUCUGUAAGCCUGUGAAGGUGAGUUGAGAAGCUUGCUGGAGGUAUCAGAAGUGCGAAUGCUGACAUGAGUAACGACAAUGGGUGUGAAAAACACCCACGCCGAAAGACCAAGGGUUCCUGCGCAACGUUAAUCGACGCAGGGUUAGUCGGUUCCUAAGGCGAGGCUGAAAAGCGUAGUCGAUGGGAAACAGGUUAAUAUUCCUGUACUUCUGGUUACUGCGAUGGAGGGACGGAGAAGGCUAGGCCAGCUUGGCGUUGGUUGUCCAAGUUUAAGGUGGUAGGCUGAAAUCUUAGGUAAAUCCGGGGUUUCAAGGCCGAGAGCUGAUGACGAGUCGUCUUUUAGAUGACGAAGUGGUUGAUGCCAUGCUUCCAAGAAAAGCUUCUAAGCUUCAGGUAACCAGGAACCGUACCCCAAACCGACACAGGUGGUCGGGUAGAGAAUACCAAGGCGCUUGAGAGAACUCGGGUGAAGGAACUAGGCAAAAUGGCACCGUAACUUCGGGAGAAGGUGCGCCGGCUAGGGUGAAGGAUUUACUCCGUAAGCUCUGGCUGGUCGAAGAUACCAGGCCGCUGCGACUGUUUAUUAAAAACACAGCACUCUGCAAACACGAAAGUGGACGUAUAGGGUGUGACGCCUGCCCGGUGCCGGAAGGUUAAUUGAUGGGGUUAGCGCAAGCGAAGCUCUUGAUCGAAGCCCCGGUAAACGGCGGCCGUAACUAUAACGGUCCUAAGGUAGCGAAAUUCCUUGUCGGGUAAGUUCCGACCUGCACGAAUGGCGUAACGAUGGCGGCGCUGUCUCCACCCGAGACUCAGUGAAAUUGAAAUCGCUGUGAAGAUGCAGUGUAUCCGCGGCUAGACGGAAAGACCCCGUGAACCUUUACUGUAGCUUUGCACUGGACUUUGAGCCUGCUUGUGUAGGAUAGGUGGGAGGCUUUGAAGCGUGGACGCCAGUUCGCGUGGAGCCAUCCUUGAAAUACCACCCUGGCAUGCUUGAGGUUCUAACUCUGGUCCGU
rnacentral:rRNA from 1 species